rnacentral:lncRNA from 1 species
CCCGCUUUGUCGGGACGAGAUGUGAGGCGGGAUGAUUUUGACGUAUUGAAAUAAGUCACGGUGCACGAUUUAGCAAAAUGACAUUACUUUUCUAGUGAUAGAUUACAGUAUAAUAAACUAUAAUUGUAAACGAAAGGUUGUUCAAGCAACAAUAAUAAUCUUCUUGAACUACGAGAUCUUCUCUAACAACAUUUGAGUUUCUUUAACCGUUGUUUGAAAGUUCGUUUAAGCCUAGUCAUUUAUUUCAAUACACCAAAAUCAUCCCGCCUUCCAUCCCGUCCCGGCAACAAGUGUUUACAUGGAAGAAAACGUCCCGGUUGAAGUGGGAUCCCGGUUGCACAAACCGGGAUCCCGCUUGCCCGGGACGGGACGAAAAACGUCGCGCUUCCAUAUAAACAUCUGGUGAUAAAUAUAAU